rnacentral:lncRNA from 1 species
AUGACCUCUACUACCUGCCACUCUCUCUAUUGGUUAGUUUAUGUCAUGACCUCUACUACCUGCCACUCUCUCCAUUGGUUUGUUUAUGUCAUGACCUCUACUACCUGCCACUCUCUCUAUUGGUUAGUUUAUGUCAUGACCUCUACUACCUGCCACUCUCUCUAUUGGUUAGUUUAUGUCAUGACCUCUACUACCUGCCACUCUCUCUAUUGGUUUGUUUAUGUCAUGACCUCUACUACCUGCCACUCUCUCUAUUGGUUAGUUUAUGUCAUGACCUCUACUACCUGCCACUCUCUCUAUUGGUUUGUUUAUGUCAUGACCUCUACUACCUGCCACUCUCUCUAUUGGUUAGUUUAUGUCAUGACCUCUACUACCUGCCACUCUCUCUAUUGGUUAGUUUAUGUCAUGACCUCUACUACCUGCCACUCUCUCUAUUGGUUUGUUUAUGUCAUGACCUCUACUACCUGCCACUCUCUCUAUUGGUUAGUUUAUGUCAUGACCUCUACUACCUGCCACUCUCUCUAUUGGUUAGUUUAUGUCAUGACCUCUACUACCUGCCACUCUCUCUAUUGGUUAGUUUAUGUCAUGACCUCUACUACCUGCCACUCUCUCCAUUGGUUAGUUUAUGUCAUGACCUCUACUACCUGCCACUCUCUCCAUUGGUUAGUUUAUGUCAUGACCUCUACUACCUGCCACUCUCUCUAUUGGUUAGUUUAUGUCAUGACCUCUACUACCUGCCACUCUCUCUAUUGGUUUGUUUAUGUCAUGACCUCUACUACCUGCCACUCUCUCUAUUGGUUAGUUUAUGUCAUGACCUCUACUACCUGCCACUCUCUCUAUUGGUUAGUUUAUGUCAUGACCUCUACUACCUGCCACUCUCUCUAUUGGUUAGUUUAUGUCAUGACCUCUACUACCUGCCACUCUCUCCAUUGGUUAGUUUAUGUCAUGACCUCUACUACCUGCCACUCUCUCUAUUGGUUAGUUUAUGUCAUGACCUCUACUACCUGCCACUCUCUCCAUUGGUUAGUUUAUGUCAUGACCUCUACUACCUGCCACUCUCUCUAUUGGUUAGUUUAUGUCAUGACCUCUACUACCUGCCACUCUCUCUAUUGGUUAGUUUAUGUCAUGACCUCUACUACCUGCCACUCUCUCCAUUGGUUAGUUUAUGUCAUGACCUCUACUACCUGCCACUCUCUCUAUUGGUUAGUUUAUGUCAUGACCUCUACUACCUGCCACUCUCUCUAUUGGCUUGUUUAUGUCAUGACCUCUACUACCUGCCACUCUCUCUAUUGGUUAGUUUAUGUCAUGACCUCUACUACCUGCCACUCUCUCUAUUGGUUAGUUUAUGUCAUGACCUCUACUACCUGCCACUCUCUCUAUUGGUUAGUUUAUGUCAUGACCUCUACUACCUGCCACUCUCUCUAUUGGUUAGUUUAUGUCAUGACCUCUACUACCUGCCACUCUCUCUAUUGGUUAGUUUAUGUCAUGACCUCUACUACCUGCCACUCUCUCUAUUGGUUAGUUUAUGUCAUGACCUCUACUACCUGCCACUCUCUCUAUUGGUUAGUUUAUGUCAUGACCUCUACUACCUGCCACUCUCUCUAUUGGUUAGUUUAUGUCAUGACCUCUACUACCUGCCACUCUCUCUAUUGGUUAGUUUAG